GACGAACGCUGGCGGCGUGCUUAACACAUGCAAGUCGAACGGAAAGGCUCCUUGCUUGCAAGGGGUACUCGAGUGGCGAACGGGUGAGUAACACGUGGGUGAUCUGCCUUGCACUUCGGGAUAAGCCUGGGAAACUGGGUCUAAUACCGGAUAGGACCAUGCUUUAGUGUGUGUGGUGGAAAGUUUUUUCGGUGCAAGAUGAGCCCGCGGCCUAUCAGCUUGUUGGUGGGGUAAUGGCCUACCAAGGCGACGACGGGUAGCCGGCCUGAGAGGGUGUACGGCCACAUUGGGACUGAGACACGGCCCAGACUCCUACGGGAGGCAGCAGUGGGGAAUAUUGCACAAUGGGCGCAAGCCUGAUGCAGCGACGCCGCGUGGGGGAUGACGGCCUUCGGGUUGUAAACUCCUUUCGCUAGGGAAGAAGCCACUGUGUAGUGACGGUACCUGGAUAAGAAGCACCGGCUAACUACGUGCCAGCAGCCGCGGUAAUACGUAGGGUGCGAGCGUUGUCCGGAAUUACUGGGCGUAAAGAGCUCGUAGGUGGUUUGUCGCGUCGUCUGUGAAAUCCCGGGGCUUAACUUCGGGCGUGCAGGCGAUACGGGCAUAACUAGAGUGCUGUAGGGGAGACUGGAAUUCCUGGUGUAGCGGUGAAAUGCGCAGAUAUCAGGAGGAACACCGAUGGCGAAGGCAGGUCUCUGGGCAGUUACUGA
rnacentral:rRNA from 1 species